rnacentral:rRNA from 1 species
CCCUUAGAUGUCCGGGGCCGCACGCGCGCUACACUGGGGCACGUAGCGUGCGUAUUGUCACCUGGUAUCCAAUGCGUACCGGGAAACCAUAGAAAUGUGCAUCUCGUUACUGGGAUAGGGCAUUGUAAUGAUGCUCUUGAACGAGGAAUUCCUAGUAAGCGCGAGUCAUCAGCUCGCGUUGAUUACGUCCCUGCCCUUUGUACACACCGCCCGUCGCUACUACCGAUUGAAUGGUUUAGUGAGGACUCCUGAUUGGCGCCGCCGCCCCGGCAACGGAGCAGCGGACUGCCGAAAAGUUGUUCAAACUUGAUCAUUUAGAGGAAGUAAAAGUCGUAACA